rnacentral:rRNA from 1 species
GACGAACGCUGGCGGCGUGCCUAAUACAUGCAAGUCGAACGCUGAAGGAGGAGCUUGCUUCCCUGGAUGAGUUGCGAACGGGUGAGUAACACGUAGGUAACCUGCCUCUUAGCGGCGGAUAACUCUUGGAAACGCCAGCUAAUACCGCAUAAGAUAAGAUGAUGCAUGACAUUUGCUUAAAAGGUGCAAUUUCGUCACUACCAGUUGAACCUGCGUCGUCUUAGCAGGUUGGUGGGGUAACGGCUCACCAAGGGGACGAUACAUCGCCGGCCCGGGAGGGGGGUCGGCCAACACGGGACCGGGGCACGGCCCAGACCCCUACGGGAGGCAGCAGGAGGGGAUCUUCGGCAAAGGACGGAAGUCUUACCGAGCAAAGCCGCGGGAGGGAAGAAGGGUUUCGGAUCGGAAAGCCCGUUUGAUUGGGGAGAACGAGAGUGGGAGUUAAAAGUGCACAUCGUGACGGUACCUUAUCAGAAAGCGACGGCUAACUACGUG